UACAGAGGGGGCAAGCGUUGUUCGGAAUUACUGGGCGUAAAGGGCGCGUAGGCGGCCCGCUAAGUCGAACGUGAAAUCCCCGGGCUCAACCCGGGAACUGCGUCCGAUACUGGCAGGCUUGAAUCCGGGAGAGGGAUGCGGAAUUCCAGGUGUAGCGGUGAAAUGCGUAGAGAUCGGGAGGAACAUCAGUGGCGAAGGCGGCCAUCUGGAUCAACACUGACGCUGAGGCACGAAAGCGUGGGGAGCAAACAGG
rnacentral:rRNA from 1 species